rnacentral:rRNA from 1 species
GAAGCUUGCUUCUCUGUCGGCGAGUGGCGAACGGGUGAGUAUAGCAUCGGAACGUGCCAAGUAGUGGGGGAUAACCAAACGAAAGUUUGGCUAAUACCGCGUAAGCUCCAAGGAGGAAAGUAGGGGACCUAAAUAACGCCUUACGCUAUUUGAUCGGCCGAUGUCGGAUUAGCUAGUUGGUGGGGUAAUGGCUCACCAAUGCAAUGAUCCGUAGCGGGUCUGAGAGGACGAUCCGCCACACUGGGACUGAGACACGGCCCAGACUCCCACGGGAGGCAGCAGUGGGGAAUUUUGGACAAUGGGGGAAACCCUGAUCCAGCCAUGCCGCGUGUAUGAAGAAGGCCUUAGGGUUGUAAAGUACUUUUGUUAGGGAAGAAAAGCUAGUUUUUAAUAAAAAUUAGUGAUGACGGUACCUAAAGAAUAAGCACCGGCUAACUACGUGCCAGCAGCCGCGGUAAUACGUAGGGUGCAAGCGUUAAUCGGAAUUAUUGGGCGUAAAGCGAGUGCAGACGGUUACUUAAGCCAGAUGUGAAAUCCCCAAGCUUAACUUGGGACGUGCAUUUGGAACUGGGUGACUAGAGUGUGUCAGAGGGAGGUAGAAUUCCACAUGUAGCGGUGGAAUGCGUAGAGAUGUGGAGGAAUACCGAUGGCGAAGGCAGCCUCCUGGGAUAACACUGACGUUGAGGCUCGAAAGCGUGGGGAGCAA